rnacentral:rRNA from 1 species
UACGGAGGAUGCAAGCGUUAUCCGGAAUCACUGGGCGUAAAGCGUCUGUAGGCGGUUUAUUAAGUCAACUGUUAAAUCUUGAGGCUCAACCUCAAAAUCGCAGUCGAAACUAUUAGGCUAGAGUAUAGUAGGGGUAAAGGGAAUUUCCAGUGGAGCGGUGAAAUGCGUAGAGAUCGGAAAGAACACCAACGGCGAAAGCACUCUGCUGGGCCGGCACUGACACUGAGAGACGAAAGCUAGGGGAGCGAAUGGG